UCAUUGAUUUUGAUUGUUUCUUAUUCAAAUGAGAGCCAAACUAGGUUUGUAUGGAGUGAGUGACG